UACGUAGGUGGCAAGCGUUGUCCGGAAUUAUUGGGCGUAAAGAGCUCGUAGGCGGCUUGUCGCGUCGGCCGUGAAAACCUGCAGCUUAACUGUGGGCGUGCGGGCGAUACGGGGCAGACUGGAGUACUGCAGGGGAGACUGGAAUUCCUGGUGUAGCGGUGGAAUGCGCAGAGUAUCAGGAGGAACACCGGUGGCGAAGGCGGCAUUCUGGACCGAUAUUGACGCUGAGGAGCGAAAGCCAGGGGAGCAAAACGGG
rnacentral:rRNA from 1 species